GUUUUUGUUGUAUUUAUGUAAAAGAUGUAUUUAAUUUUAUCUUCUUUAGUAUGUUUAUACGCUUUUACUAACAUUAUAUAGAUAUAGGUAUAUAUCGGUAUAUAUUAAAUUAAAAAAUGAUUAUGCUUUUUUUAUACAUUACCCUGGUUUCCCAGAUAGACAAAGUUCUAAUAUUAAUAUAAUGAUGGAAUAUGAUCAGUAAAAGAAAUAAGGUUGCUUGUCAUUAUAUGAUGAAAUUUAUUACCUACCUAGGUAGACCAGCUUAUUUGUUUAUGAAUAGAGAACACUCCUUCGUAUUAACAUGUUUUUCAUUUAUUUACUAUAGCUAGUACAAUCAUCGAUAUGUGCAUUUAAGGUUGUGAAGUAUGUAAUGGAAUAAUGAUACCAAAGAUUGAUCAAAUCUUGACUGAUGCAAUACUGUUGCAAUGUAGUAAUUACUGUAAAUUGAUGAGAUUUUACACAGCCUUGAAACUAGGGGCAUAUCUAGAACAUAAACCUGGACACUCAUUGCGUUGUAUGACCAACUCCGCUUCAUGUGAUUGCGAGACGAUGUGACGCUGUCUGAUGGUCGUCAGUGGCACUCUGAACGGAUCUUCAUUAAAAAUUGAUCUGUUGCGCACGUCUUCUUGUUGCGUUCUUCAUUUAAAUUGCGUCCGCAGAUGACUGUCGGCGCAUUGAUUGUUUGGCUUUAAGCAUUUGGAAUUGGGUAGGGAAGGGAUGGAAACGGAGAAACUGGGAAUGCACCUUGUCGCCUCGCACUUACACACAGUAAUUUAUUAUGCACUUGGUAAUAUCAGAUUGCAAAUUAAGUGUUGCAUUUACUUUAAAAGCACUUGUGUAGCAUUAACAUACAGUGCUGUGUUGUUAAUGUUGUUUCUUUUGUGGGUUGUAUUGUAGUGUGGUGGUCGUGGUCAUGGACUUU